rnacentral:rRNA from 1 species
GAUGAACGCUAGCUACAGGCUUAACACAUGCAAGUCGAGGGACCGGCGCACGGGUGAGUAACACGUAUCCAACCUGCCCUUUACUCGGGGAUAGCCUUUCGCAAGACAGAUUAAUACCCGAUGUAAAGUAUGGGGAUGCGUUCCAUUAGGUUGUUUGUGAGGUAACGGCUCGCCAAGCCUUCGAUGGGUAGGGGUUCUGAGAGGAAGGUCCCCCACAUUGGAACUGAGACACGGUCCAAACUCGUACGGGAGGCAGCAGGGAGGAAUAUUGGUCAAUGGGCGUUAGCCUGAAACAGCCAAGUAGCGUGAAGGAUGAAGGCUUAUGGGUCGUAAACUUCUUUUAUAUAAGAAUAGGUAUUAGAUGAAUAAGGAUCGGCUAACUCCGUGACAGCAGCCGCGGUAAUUC